GCCACAGACCCAGAGUAAGCGAAGAAAUCU
rnacentral:piRNA from 1 species